GUGCUCACUUCACAGCAUGUAUGCUAAAAUUGGAAGAAUACAGGGAAGAUUACCGUGACCCUGCGCAAGGAUGGCCUGCAAAUUUGUGAAGCAUUCUAUAUUUUU